AAAGGAACUAAGGGCGC
rnacentral:rRNA from 2 species